CUCUGCCUGCCCAAUACCACACAACGCUGCGUCUCCUUCCCGCUUUCUUUCCCCGACGGUGUCUCCACGUCUUUUUCAACCCCUUCUGCGUCGCCUCGUCCCUUCCUUCUUCGUUACGCGGUUCCCGUCCUCCUUCCCUCGCUACCGUACCCUUCACGCACCCUCUGGCUCUGUGGUCUCGUAGGUCCGACGAGAAUCCUCCACCAUGAUUCCUCUCCGGCUGCUAGGCUACCGCGAAAGACCGGGACUCCCUUUGUUCCCUCAGAAUCUUGCGUCAUGAAUUUUUCUCCCGUACUUUCUAUGCCCUCGUUUUCGCUCCCAUUCGACUCUCGACUCUCGACUCUCCACGAGCCGUCCCCCCGCCGUUUCACUCGAGGAGGUUCGCUCGCGAGUCGCAUCUCUCGAUUCGCCAUCGAUUGCAGGGCAGCUCCCUUGAUUCAAUCCGCGCUUUCCUUUUCAGCUUUUCCGCGGAACGACGUCUCGACCUGCUCUCCCUUUUUCUCUCCAUCCCGUGAUCGCGGUCACUGGGUUUACAGUGUAGCUUCGCGAGUCUCGAGCCGACUCUUUUCCGGGAACCACGUUUCAACGAAUUUUUCAAUCCCUCCGACGAGCUUUAUUCUUCGCAGUUUUUCACGAAUUCGCGCGGAAAUACGUUUCCACGGCGGAAAAUCGCUCGGUCCCGUUCAGCGUCUCAUUCUUUCGCCAACCGCGUUCAUUCAGAAUGGUGAACGGUGAAUAAACAUUCAGGCAACGUCCUCCUUUUCCAUUUAUAUCGCCACGAUCUCGAGUUAUUUAAAUAAUCCUUUCAGGUCUAUUUUCAGACUCCCGGACGUAUACAUAGCGUAACAGCGGAUGGCUAAAGACGCGGCAUCGAUGCAUUUACAAGCAUCUCGCCUUUGUACGGAGAUACCGUCCUCUCCUUCUCUCGUUCGAGCACGACUAUGGUUAGCGAGAAUCAGCGAAGCACCCUUUGCCGUCGUAACUUCGUCGUCCUGUAUGCGUCGUGGUCUUUUGUCUAGGCGUAUUUCCCUGCGGGGCGAACGCGUGCGCUAUCGCCAAUUCUUCUGGCAAACGUUUCCCGAUCAAUUCCCUUAAAACCCAUGAUUGGCAAUCUCGCUUAUCUCGUCGGUAAAUCUCGUUCACGAUUCGUGUGAAGUCAUUCAUCUUGCUUCUAGCCAAAGUUUGUUAAGCCUCAAAAAGAAUCAUUCAAUAUUUCGUAAUAAUUCACCAACUAAUUCUAUCAACUUCUAUGCUUUAGGAGUAAUUAUUUCAAGUCGUAUGAUCUUUUACAGAUACCUUUGUAUAAAUGUCUGCAGUUUCCUAAUCGAGUGCAAUGUAUUUAUCAUCUGAAGUGUCUAAACUCUCGUCUCGAACAAAAGAGUCUGUCAGAGCGUCUCAACGAUAUUUCAUGAUCCCUUUCAACCCGUUCAAUUCAUUGACUCGUAGGUCCCACGGCUCUAGCUAGGAACCCUGAAGACCAUCUGCUUCAGACUGAUAAGCUUUUACAGUAUUUUCUCCUCAAAUGUGAAAAUCUUAUCUCUAUGUUUAAUCUGAGUGAUCCUUUCAAGACGUUAGGAUAAAAUCUUUUAUGAAAUAAUUAACUCUUAUCGAUUCUUCCUGUACUUCCAAGAAAAACGAGACUCAGAAACAGUCAAAGCAUUACUGUUGUGUCAUCAAUACACGGAUUUUUAUCUUUAUCACACUACCCCUUUCAGUUCGCACAUUUUUUAGACAAAACCUAUCUCUAGUUCCGAGGAUUCCGUUCUUAAUGAGGGAGUAUCGUAAUUCUAUCAAAGGGAACUAGAGUCUUUCCCCGCGAGAGCGUUUCAUGGAAGUUCGAGCUGGCUCACCCGCGCAUUCGGUCGCGUUCCCACGGGAGGAUCCGGGGGUAGGAGGACCUGGAGGUGGUUCUCGGGAGUGAACGGUGAAAACGGGAGGGGCAGGGGGUGAUGUGCUGUGUGGUUCUGCGACCCACUGACCCGCUCGAUAACGCCAGCACCGAGGAGGUCAGUAACCUCACCCCAGCACAAAAUUCUCUAUCGCGGCUACCCUUUUCGACCCUGCUCGACUAGAAUCGACCCUUGAUUACGUCUCUCCAUCGGAGAUUAUCUCCCGCCUCGGCGAGGAUCCUAGUCUUUGCGGUUCUCUCAUCGUUUUCUCUCGGCCCCUUUACGAGAAAUCCACCGAGAAGUCUCGCCGAGUCCACGAAAGGAAGUUUGCGUGAACUCAUUAUUUCUUAAUAAAACGCGACUGGAGUGGCUUCGCGAAUCGAUCCUCUGACGUAUUCUAAGGGUUGUUUUUCCGAUUCCGUGAGGUCGGUGACCGGUUGCCAGUCGGAUGAUCGAAAUACUUGGCAACCGUCCAUUGAAUCCGCGAGCAGCCAGCCUCGAUCAUAGUUUUCUCUCGUUUUUUCGCCGUCCGGCGGACAGGUUUUUCGUACCGUCGCGACGACGGUAACGUUACGUAUGGCUCGAGGAAUCUCGAGCCCGCAAUCGGUACUCUCGCGGUAAUCCGUACGAAUGGUCACGUGAGAAUUAUCGUGAUGCCAAUGCGUCACGCGAUAGGCGGACCGUGCUUCUUUUUUUAUUUCUCCUCUGACUGAGUCAGGACGUUCGUCAAAGGGUGGAAGACCGCAGAAGAUCGGUUCGGUCUCGUUCCCAGUGACGGCGAUACGAAUCGGGUCGCGCACCGAUAUGUGCAAUACGCACUGGUGUGCCCCUGCAAGUAUUUUUCUGCGUGUCGUAAUAUCGCGUUGCGAGGAUUGCGACACGGGGCACAGACUCACGCACACCGAGUAUUGAUUUCGAGACCUCGGUGCUGGCAGUGCUGCCACGAUUCCCUGUCUCUAGAACUAAACCCUGGAUGAAAGCUCGGGGGAAGAUCAGUAGAGUCGUGGGCUUUUUCAAAUUUGAAAAUCUCCGUUCAUCAACCAAUUUACGCGGCUUGAUUUGACCGUGUAAUUCCCGAUUGAUUCGACACAGUUAAAAACGGGAUUAGUGCAUCGUCGAUCAAUUACUUUUAUUAACACACGGGAGAAAUUCGAGCAAGUUCGCCCGGUUUUUUGGCCCGGAUCGUUGCGUCCUCGAGGUCGCCAACGCGACCUGCCUUCUUCGUAUGCGCCGCCUGAGGGCUGCUUCAAGAUGGCGUUCCUCUUUAACCGUGCGUAUACAUUAAGAAGAAUAAAACAGAUUCACCCCCUUCAAACACGUUCGACGAGCUGUCUAACGAAGCCCUGACAAACUCGCGCUUUAAUUGCAACCGGUCCGAUACUCGGUUGUUCUACUACUGCACUUACGUUGGGACUACACAGAGUUUGACAAAUUGGAUCACGAGCAUAGUUUCGAAUCGGUGUUUCGAAACCGGUAUCGUCCACGGUUGGCACACGUUUGUUUAUAAUAGUUUCAGACGAGUUUGCAGGCUGUUUCCGUUUCGCGAACGUCAAUACAGCGCUCUGCCGAAAUAAACGAUUGGCCCGGCAGGCGUCUAACAACCAAGCAAACGUCCCUAUGGAACUCUGGCUCGCGGGAUUAACUAUACGUGCCAGCAUGUUGGGAGGCCGCAAAACGCGAAAACGUGUAGGCCUGUGGGUUAUUUUCAGUCGGAGCCACGGGGCACCAAAAGCCUAAACUGAUUCGCUGAUAUACUAUUGAAAAGAUAUACCUCCUAAUUCAUAAGACUUACGACAUAAACAAAUUCCUAAAUUUGCAAUCGUAUUUUGGAUAUUCUGUAUUUCUAUACAUAUUACUGAUUACUGAGUUUUCAAAACUACUUUAGAUUCAUUCCCAUAAAUGCAUGAACAUCCGUGAUAAGCGCAUAAUAACUUUUCUUUAUUUAAAUACAAAAUCCAAUUGCUUCGCAUAAAGUCUAGUAAUCUGAUUUGCUUAUACGUUUCAGAACAUGUCCUAAGACUUGACGAGCGGAGGCAGACAACAUACCUUGACGUAAUCAUGUUUCCUCUCGCCCCAUUAAUUCCUCGACUCGCAUGCAAAUUAUAUUUUUAACCUCGAGCUUCCGACACUUUUUCAAUCCCACGCGCGUAUCCGUAAUACUGUAUUUUUAUCCAACGCGGACGUCGUCUGUACGCGCGAACAAAGCGGCGAGCGCAAAUACUUAUGCGACGCGUUUAUGCAAAUCCUCCGUGGAAUCGCAGUCGUGUAAAAGCAAUUAGAAGACAGGCACGCUGUUGGCGGUACGCCCGGGCAAAAAACGAGCCGCGCGAGGGCCUUUAGUCAUACACGUAAGGUCCCGAGGAUGUUAAGAAUGCACUUGAUAAUUCGGAAGGGGUGAAGCCGUUCAGUUUACCUUGACGACGGUGCCGAUCAGGGGAUCGGGCGGCAUUUCCGGGGGAUCCG